CAGGGCUCAAGCAAAGAACUGGGAUCAUCUAUUGUCUGCUGUUGCCUGCCUGCAGCUGAGGUGAAGACUUAUGCUUUUCACCAAAGACUGCUAUUUUAAGGGUUGUCAAAAGCACUGGGGAAGCGACAAAGGAUAACCUCACACUUGAGCUGUGGUGCCAGCACAGGAUGUCUGCUGGAUGCAGUGCUCCUUGGCAUGUGUGUGUGCAAGUGCCUUGCCGAAUAACAUCAUUUUCCCAGAGGUGACCUGGCAGAAAUGAACUGUGCUUUGCAUCUGCCCCUCCCAUGCCUUUCGAUCCCAUCGCAAUUAUCUGUAACUGCAUUUGCUGCCUCCUAGAAGGACAACUUCAUAUUGAGGUCUCUGGAUCUUAUCAGACUUUGGUUUCUGAAUCAAACACAGAGACUCCUGGAUGAAGCUCUAAUAUGGAUCUAGGCAAUGUUGUAUCACACCUUUUAUCCUGUGUCUUUCUGUGGAAACUUCUUACACAGCUGCACAAUCUCCGAAUAGAUCUGGAUGUGGAGUGGUGCAGUGAUACAAAUGGAAGUCAGCUAACAGCUCUUUGCAAGUCCCUGAGGCAGCAGAUCAGAUGGAAACCCCUGGGCAAUCUCAGACUGACGUUCAGUGCUCCUGACAGAGAUGGCUCUGGGCUGCAGAUGUUCACGGGACCAUAUGGCAUCUGCACGUUGUCUUCGAGAAUUAUUACAAAAUAGACUGUUUUGGAGGGGAAAGAUAACCUGAUCAUAAAUAUUAAUCACUGCAGCUGUAGUUUGAAUGUCUGUAAAAGUGUCAUAAUGGAAUUCCAGACUUUUCCUGUUUUCAUUCACUGGUGUGUAUUUUCCAUACUAUUUCACAAGUAAAAAUCUAUUUUUCAGAGGACUCUGGUAACCCUACAGAUUGUCUGGACACAAACUGAGUUUUUUCUUGACAAGACCGUCUGAACUAAGAUGCAUUGUACAUGCAAAAUGUAAUUCUUGUCAGGAGAUCUAAACCACUGGCUUUCCCAGCAAAAUCCUGUUGUCUUUUUUCCUCCAAAACACUAAUAAUCCCAACUGUAGAGCUGAAAACUCUGCUUUCCUCCCUGAGCUGCAGUAACACCAGGGUGUUGGUGGAAACCCUAGUGCCAACUCAUGAUUAGGCCCGAGUGGAAUGUCUUGUUGAAUUUGACUCUUUAUGACCUUCUCUGUUUUUUCUGCAAAUAGGUGCAUUUCCAAUACCUUGAGAACAUUUGUUUGAACAAAGCUGGCUAUCACUGGGUCUGGUACAGUGGCUGUGUACUGCUUGCUUAGGUGUUGCUUUCUUCCUAAGGCCCCUUGGUGUCACCGUGAGCAUCUCCUGAAGGAUUGCUGCCGUGGGGUCACAGGCUUGCUCCACUGUUAAGGAUUCCUUGGAGGCCGCUGGAAAGUGGUGUCAUUGUACAACUGUGGAGUAUGAGAGGGUGAGAUGGGAUGUGUUCAUUAACACAUGAGUUUGUGUUCAUUACCAGUGUUCCUUGUGGUGGGGAGUGCAGAUUCUGCAGAAGCACCUUCAGACAGUUUUUGAAGGGGAGAGCCAGCAGCUGGUAGUGUAGCAAAGCUGGGUAAUAGACUCUGAGGUUCCUUCUGCCUGUUCAGAGCAUUUCCUGUAGAUUCAUAUCAUUUAGCAGCUCUUCCCUGACACUCUGGAAUUUCCCUCUCAGAUAUUUUCAUUUUAGUGCAAUCUUCAGGAACUUGAUGUUUUCAGUCUGGUCAGCUUUUUGGUGCAAAUCAGGAUGCAAUUUUGUAACUUAGGUAACUGGAUUUUUCUUAGUAACUAACUCCAAAUCAAAUGUACACAUAGAAGCAAUUGCAACAGGAGAGCAAAGGCAGAGAUCACAGAGCAAACCAAGCAGUGAAUUUUGGUUCAGUAAAGGAUUUCCCAGAUUGGUUCAGGAAUCUUUUGUACCAUCCCACACUCCUCUUUAAUGAGAUUGGACUACAUUUGAAACAAAAACUGAGUUUACAUUCAAAUCAUUAUAAACUUUGGGGAAAGGAAAGGAAGGAAGUAUUGAUAUUAUGUAAUAUUUUGUUAUCUCUUUGAUUUUGACAUUUCCUGGAGCCGAGUGAGCCAAAGCACAAGGGAUGUAAAUGAAUCCAUUACAUUUGCAAGUGAAACUCAAUGCAGAGUAAUUCAAUGUAAGAGCUCAGCCCAUCUCCCUGUGUGCCUUAAAGUACCUCUAAGGACAACUUGGUGGUCAUCUCCCAUUAUAAAGGUGAUCAAUAGGAAUGAAAAUGGCAAUUCAGCUGGGGAGGCCCAGUGUAACGGCUGGAUUCAUUUCAACUCCCAAGUUAUCCAGCCCUCCCAGCAGAGUGAGACUGAACAGGCACUCAAACACUUGAAGGGAAGAGCAGGCUUAGGAGCAAAGCUGAGUGUGUUGAAAUGGUAAGAUCAAGGAGCUGUUGUGAAAAGAAUGAUGCAGUAGCAGAUAGCACCCAGCACCUCCCAUGGGGAUGUAUCUGCACUGAAAAAGGCUGGAUGUGAGCCAGUAUUAUUACUGGAGAGCUGAGAGACAUAACAAGAAAAAUGUCAUCUUCUUUUAGUCUGUAGCUGGUCAUAGUAAUUGGCCUAAUAAUGUCAUCCUGCAGUUAUUUAUAUGCAGCAGUGUGUCCUGGGAUCGAUUCCAUUUGUUUGUGUGCUGUAGAGACAAAGACAAGAGAGAACCUGUAUGCAUCUUGAUACAUACUGUAUGACUCUGGUUCUCUGCCUCCAAAUUCUUCUCAUUUUCCUCAUCUUUUAUAGGAGCAAGAAAUAAGAACAGAUGUAUUUCUUCCCAUAGUUUUAAAUUUUGAGGUUUCAGCCUUCUGAUGUUCCAUCUGCUUGUUACCAUGAACUGUGGGAGCAGUGCAUUUCCUUGACACUCCUUCAUGUAUUCUCAAAAGAGGGAGACGUUAAGAAAACUUAAUAAUUGAAAAAUGUAUAGCACAAAGAAGAUGUACCUCCCCUCCAAAUCCCAAGGCUGGGUGUUUGGUUACCCCUGUACCUGACUGGGGGGAUGGCUGACUGCUGUGCUCACUGUUAAUAGAAGACAUCACUCUCCAAUAGGCAUGUGGGAAAGAGGAUACAAAGACUGACUGUGCACCUGACUUCAGGAAGAUGUGCUUCAUAUGAGGCUUUCCAAGGCCCAUUCCAAGUGUUUAUGGCAUCACAUAUUCUGAAAGAGCAUCCCAAAUACCUGGUGAUCUUUUCUAGCUGUUACUUUGUGAGAAGCAGUCGGCAAUAGCGUGUGGAAGUCCCAGUAUCAGAGGAAAUGCAGUUAAAAUGAGGUAUUAGGUGCAGGAACUGACUUUGUAUGAGAAUUGUGGGCUUUCUGCUUGCAGCUCCUUUCAGGCUUUUGUUUACCUUUGUCACCAUAUCUGGUGGGGAAGGACUGGCUGAAAUGAAAGGCAGAGGAGCAGGAGGGUCACAACCUGGACAUCUCAUACCAGAAAUACAGUGUUUAACCACUCAAACUGCCUUUUGGUGCAGGUUCUGCUGCACAGGGUGCUCUACCAGUGUGGAAUAAAUCACUGCCUUCAAGCAGUCUGGUCAAAGAGCCUAAUCCCAGUUCCAUCAAACUCCAUCCAUCCACUUUGUACCAGAUCCUUUCAGACAAGGCAGAACUUGAGUAGGUAAUUAUUUACUGCUUUACCAAAUAAUUGAUGUUACAAGGUCAUAGGGAAAAGCUGGUGCUUCAGCUGAGUUGGGCUUGUGAAUUCAGAUUUUCCAACUUCCAUUUGAUCACAGAAUUGUUCUCCUUGAGCCACUGCCUGUGACUUCAUGUCACAACAGAAGAACACAUCUGCAGGCAUGCUGGCACCGUCGUUUGUGGGUUGGACAAACACAGAGAUGGUUCUGUGUCUUUGCAACAUGCUGGAUGCUCCCGUUCUGCACACAUUUCGAGUGAUCAGGGCUGAUAUAACUGAUCAGUGACAGUUUUCACCCUUCCAAAAAUAUCUCCAGCUUAGUCAUUUUAUUAUAAAUGCUAAUAAUUGUAAUUAUCAUCUGCACUUGGAAAAUGUCUCUAACUCAUCACAUGGAAGCAUCAGCAAUUUAUAUAGGUGGGGAUCUACUGAGCCCCUUAUGAGUGUUUAAAAAUGUACCUAAAAAUAAAACUACUUUAUGACCUACUUGAUAACAUAGCUCUACCAAUAAGUAGACAAAGUUGGACUGCUGAUAUUUUUAAAAUGUAUUUUUAUAGAUCAGUGAAGUAAAAGGACAGUUUUUAGUAUUUUUUGCAGAAAAAGUAGCUUGGCAUUGAAUACCUGUGUACAUUAGGUAUGAUAAGAGAUCUUCUUUAAUCAUUUUAGUAUGUACAAUGUAUAAAUUGUUCAAGAGAACAUAUCUAAUAAUACUGUAUAUGUCUAUAAUUUAUAUAAUCAUAUGUAGUACACAUAACACAAUUUGUUUUAAUAUAUAAAAAUUAAGGUGAAGUAUUUUUCCAAAACUGAAAUAAUCUGUAGGCAGAGUAAAGGAGGUGGAGUUUUCUGGGUGGCUGCAGCUCUGGAGGACAGACAGAGCUGUGGCUGUAGCAGAGGGGAUCUUGGCCAGGUGCUUGGGCUGGUUGUCAGGUCUGGCUUUUCCUUUCUGCCUGCUGUGAGAAGAGCUGCUGCAGGGUGUGCACAACUGCAGUGCUUUCACUGCUGUCAGGAUCUGAUCCAGAGCCCAGGGAAAUCACUGCAGUGAUGGACAAGCUCCUCUGGGACAUGAACUACCCCAGGAGGGGAUUUCAGGGUCACCCUUCCCUCUGGCUGUUUCCCCAGUGAUGUGAAAGGGAGUUUUGUCUGCCUCAGGACUGCUGAGCCCCAGGGGAUUUCUCUCUGUUCCAGCCCAAGAACAUUUCGUGUGCCUGUUGGAAUCACUCUGUACUGGCAGCCUGGUGUACAUUUUACCUUCUUCCAAAACACUAAUCCUGAGUGAGGAAGGGCUGAAGGAAUAUAAUGUCUGGGAGAAUGUUGCCAACACCACUGACAUUUAAUGGCUCUGCCCUUGGGAUUUCUUUUUAGCUAACUUUUUCCUAUCACUAUCAUAGUGAAAAUGUUAAAUGUAAGAACACAGAGCUACUUCAUGGAUUAAAAGGCAGAUCUCCCAAAACAAAUAGAUUUGUCUUGACAAUUUGUCUGCAGACCACCUAGUAUGGAUAAUUUUGAGGAGAGAGUUGUUUUACUGAGGACACUGUGGGUUUGCACAUUUGUCUGAGACUUGUCCAUAAUCUGUAGCAUUUGCUGCAAAUUCGUUUUUUAAGUGUAUUUUUUAAGUGUUUUAAGACAGUGCUUCUUUGUAACAUCUGUUAGUAUACCACCCAUGGAUUAAUAAGCUUUGCAGAGCUGUGGAGACAUAGAAGAUCUCUAGAAUAUGUUUUCACUUGCCAAACUCCGGAUUAUGGAAAUCAUUGUCAAAGUGGUGAGUUGUGUGAGUUCAUUAGGAGUUGAAUUUCCAGUGUAAGUCAAAGGGGAUUCAGGCUUGUAGCAAUCUGAAGCUCGUUUUUUGUAAAUUCCCCAUCAGUACAUAAAAGUUUCAGAAGCUCAUAACUACUGUACACCUGGCUCAUUGCUGAAAUCUUUUCAUGGUAAAUGAGAUCUGUAAAAUUCCCAGUUCAGUAAAGUAUUAAGGUACAUACUGAAGUCAGUCCUGUUAAAUCCAGCAAUUAAACCAAUGCCAGUGAGUUUUGAGCACAUACCUAAAGCUAAAAUAUGCGCUUGCUUUCUUUGUGAUGUGUUUCAUUCUUUUAAAGUUUUAGUGUGACUCAAGAACAGAGCUGUGGUUUAGAUUAUUUUGUCUGAACAGGUUUGAUCUUUUCAAUAUGCUGGUCUAGAGCCUCGGGAAAACUGUCCACCCUCUCAGAAGAGGUUCUGUUAAGCUCUGAUGCUGAAAAAAAGUGCUCCAGAAGUGAGAAGAUCACACCUAUGCCUUGUUUGGCAUAAAUGCUGGAACUGGAAAACCACAAAACUGGAUCUGAGAUGAAACAAUAGGGCGUUAAUGGUGCUCAUGAGUAUCCCAUAAGCAGGCUUUUUGAAGUUACUGAAACACUAAACUGGUAGGCAGUAAAAGAGGUACCACAAUAAUUGUAUGUCAGGAGGUCCAUCUGUUUGCCAAUAACUAACUUACAUUUAGUGACUUACAAAUUCAGCCAGAAAUGCAACCCCUGACCAUCCCAGUGGUACUCUGGAGUCCUCCUCUGAACGUGGCCAGCUUGGAUCAAAGGAACCCUCUCAGCUCUCAGGUUGUGGUGCUGCCCUUCAAGUCCGUGUUUAAGUUUGUGUUAAAAUAAGAACACAACUGCAAGCUAUUGAAAUGCUGCUUUCUCCUGAAUUAUUUGCUAGGCCUGAUUUUUAAAAGUGAGUGUUUCACUUUAUCAAUGUUCCCUCGGGUAAGUGCUGCUUCCAGCCUUCCUGCCCUGUAUGUUCUGGGGCUAUGUUAAGUCCCUGAGCCAUUUUUGUUCCAUGACAGCAAAGCUGCUCCUUCACCCACCUUGUCUGCUCACAGAGAUUUUGCCUGAUUCUGUGGGAGCUGGCAUGAAAACUUUGGUUUUGAAUAUUUCAAUGUGUUACAAAGUACAGCAAACAAUAGAAAUCUCACCUAAAGAGGGGGGAGUGAAGGAUAAACCUGUAAAGCCAGGCUCUUCAUCUUCCACUCUGCUUUUAUCACAGCUGUAAUGUGAGCAAUUUCAGUUAAAAGCUCCUGUCAGACAACAGUUACUGUAGGUUACAGCAGCAUAGGGAACAGUCUUGGUCAAAGGCAAAUCAGGAAUUCCUCUAAAAAAGAGAUCAUUUGCUCAAAACUCCCUUCCACUUAAAAUGACCAGAUUUUGGUCUAAUGAGCAAUAAAGAGAAUUAAUUCACAAGUGGUGCAACUAUUAACUGAUGUUGUUGAAAAGACCAAAAAGCUUUUCUGGAGGAUUUCUGGAACUUAGUUUCAUUGGCCACAUUUCAAAAUCAGGCAUCUUUAAAGAGGCAAACUGUCCCUUUACCCUCCAGAACCCCACCUUUGUAUUAAGUGUAGUUGCUUCAUAGUUUGCAGUCUCUCAGUCCCACUGGAGUGAUUCACUUGCACAGAGCACACUGGGGUAAAACAGAGCUUUGUGUGCAGUGUGAGCUCAUCAAAUAAAUGUUAUUGCCCAAAAUGGGAGUCCUACGAAGCGUUUGUCAGGUGUGUCCUGCUGCCUUCAGAGUGAAGGGAAUGUAGUUUGCAGUUUGAGUAUUAAAAUUUCUCCACAGCACUCCAGAGCUAUUAAACCAGUCCUCUUGAGGAAGUUCUGUGCCCCUUUGCCUGGCAGGAGUAUUUCUGCGUUCCCUAUCUCUCGUCUGACCAUUCUGUCCAGCAAAACAUUGUCUGCCCAAAAGCUGGCUAUACAGAGCAACCACAUUUCAAAAUCCCAAUAUGGGAAGAAGUCUCCCUUUCAGUCCACCCCUCAAUUUUCCCUAACAAGGGGGCCAUCCCCAUUUUCCAGCUUUCCCGUUCUCCGAUCUUCACUCCUCAUUUUCGGAACUCGUGCUUUGCUCGUGUAUCUCCAGGAUUCUCCUGCAGCUCUGUAUCUCCAGGAUUCUCCUGCAGCUCUGUAUCUCCAGGAUUCUCCUGCAGCUCUGUAUCUCCAGGAUUCUCCUGCAGCUCUGUAUCUCCAGGAUUCCCCUGCAGCUCUGUAUCUCCAGGAUUCUCCUGCAGCUCUGUAUCUCCAGGAUUCUCCUGCAGCUCUGUAUCUCCAGGAUUCUCCUGCAGCUCUGUAUCUCCAGGAUUCUCCUGCAGCUCUGUAUCUCCAGGAUUCCCCUGCAGCUCUGUAUCUCCAGGAUUCCCCAGCAUCAACCCACAGCACAGCUGCCAGUCGCUGAGCCCCACAUCCCCUCUCAUCUCCUGCUGUAUUGCAGAUGCUUCUGGUGGUGGGAUUUUAUCACUCUUCCUUUAAGCACUUACAUUGUUUUAAUAUGACCACUUGAGCACUCAAAGAAGUAUAACUUAUUGUAUGUGUUGCAAUUAACUGCUUGCUUUAUUUUCCCUGUUUUCUAAAGAAGAAUAAAGAAAACACGGAACAAUUCAAGGUCGUGGAAGAUUUACCUCUGCUUUCUGUAGCACUCUGAAAAUAUUUAUUUGGGUAUCUUAGGCUAGGGAUUGCAGAGGAGCUAAAAAGCUGGGCUUCUGCUGAAGCAUGCACUGCCAUGCAAUAGGAGCUGAGUGCUGAAGUCCCUGAGAGGCUCUGGAAUUCUGAGCAGUGUGAAACUGUUAAAUAGUUGUCUUUGAUAUAACCGGAGUGAUAUGAAGGAUUGGCUUUAGCUCUGAGCAGACAGUGACUGAAUUUGGUGAGAGAUUUAAGUACUGUUGAUAAUAUAUUGUCUGUGUUAAGGCACUCCUUAAAAGUGGACAUACAGAGAUUUUGGCCUGGUAGUCAUAUGCUGGCCACAAGCUUUCGGAAAUGAUUUCUGAAUGUCACGUUCAGCAAGUUCCUUUUGCAAUGCUGGGGCUCAAAUUACCUGUUGUAAUCAAAUUGCCUGAACAAUUGAAAGUGCUUUAAAAUAACUUAAAAUGUAUAAAUAUAAUUUUCUGACAUUUGGGCUUAAAUAAGAGCUCCCUUGCAUGACAAGUUUCAUUCCGGAGUGAAUUUUUACUGCCGAGUUAUAAACCCCUGGAGUAGCAGUUUCUAAUAAAAAUUCUGCCAGACUUGUAAUGAUAACAGCACGAGUAGUGCUGCUGUAAUAAAGAGAAAAAGGGAAUCAUCAGACUCACAGCUUAAAUUAUUUUUUUUAUAUAGUAGGCCUUUGAGAGAGGAUCCAAUGCUGAUGAUAUUCAUGGAGUACUGCUAAGAGUUAUAAAAUUGUUGACAAAUAUAUGGUCCUUUUACAGAAUACCAAAAAAAAGAAAUAUUUUUCAUUUGGCAAUUCAAGAGUUGCUGGUGACAAAGGAGCCAGUGAACAUUAAGUCUUGAAAUUAUUUAUUAUGAACACCACAUCUCACAAAAAAAAGCGCACGAGCAAUAUUAGAAAGCAUCUGAGUGGAAAAAAUGAUUAUUUUGUUAUUCAGUGCCUGCAUUGCAGGACAUUUUUCAUGUUAGUUAUCUGUGGCACUACACACUGUUGGGAGAAACUGUUUUUUCUCUGUUGAAAAGUUGUUUACAGGGCACAAUCCUAACUUGAGGAAACUGAGUUGGAAUGGUGUUGAAUAGGCUUAGGCAGAUUUGUUGAAGCUGUGAUGGAGGAACAGGGCAGGAAUGCCAUGGUCACAGAUGUUCAAAGGCAGGCAGUUGGUGGGUGUGGGUGUGAGGGGUCCCAGGGGUGUCUCAAGUGACACACAGGAGCAUUAGAAGGCACUGCCUGAAGCAGCAGUUACACCCUGGGGGGAAGCUGCUGGCUGGGAGGCUCUUUUAGUACCCUUGGAAGUUAUCUGCAGCACUCAGAUUUCCCUGUGACACGUUUCUCAAAGCCCAUCUCAAACAGAACAUAGGCUUCCUUGGAGCUGGUUGUUUGGGAAAUUGAUAGAAGGCAGCACAGCCGUUUAACUGUUGAAAUGACAUCCUAAAGACAGGCUCGGGAAACAAACCUCCUGCUGUUUCUAGAGAAGAUGUAGCUGUUCAGUGAUGCUGUGAAUUUGCCCAACUUUUUCUGAAGUUAGGGCAUAACAUCUUUUUAGGUGCUUAUUUUUGAAUGCUUCAAAAAACCAACCUGACAUAACACCUGCACAUUUCAGUUUGGGUUCUCUUUUUUCAGUUUUCCAUUUGUUGUGGGUACCUCAACCACAGAAAUUAUAUAACCAAACCUGUUCUUUCUGUCUGCCUAGGCAGGUGUGUGUGUCUGAGCUGCAUAGAAUCUGGACAAGGAUUUAAAAUGAAAAUUUGUUGUCUUCUGUGACUAAUUCUACUCUUAAAAGACUAUUGACACUACUGGCUGUUUUUUCUUAGGUAUUUUCUGUUUGCAGGAGCGCUGUGUAAUUUAUUCAGGCAGGUAAUGACCUAUUGUACUGCUGCAGCUUCUAAUAAAUUCCCAGAAUCCAA